AUUUCGUUUUUUGGGGCGAAAAAAACCGGACUCAAAGACCCCAAAAAUUUCGUUUUUUGGGGCGAAAAAAAUGGACUUUGGAGACCCAAAAAUUUCGUUUUUUGAGGCGAAAAAAAUGGACUUUGGAGACCCAAAAAUUUGGUUUUUCGGGACGAAAAGCGACCUGGACCCCGAAAUCCCGUUUUGGGGCCACGCCCAGGGGCUUCAAGAGGAAGAUUGCCGUGCUCUCAGCCAGGGCCGGGCUGGAGCCGGAAGGGGGCGGGGCCUCGGGGGGGCCCCGGCGGCGCCGCUGGGGGGCGACGGCGCCCAAGAGACCCAGCAUCAGCAUCAGCACCGACAGCCUCAAGGUAAUUAGCUAAUUACGCUAAUUAGCUUAAUUAGCAGCCCGCGCAUUCCAAUCCCGGCGCCGCUGCCAAAAAUCCCCGUUUUUACGCCGCUUUCCUGGCCCGAAAAACGCCUUUUUUAGCCCAAAAUUCCCAAUUUUUUACUUU